CGAUUCAUAAAAUAACAUCUUUUACAUAUCUAUUUAAAAACAGGUGAUGAACAAUUAUUUGGAAGAAAUAGAUUUGGAAAAUCCGACCACCCACGGCAAAUUCGUGUAGGCGUUGCAUCAGUGCUCGGCCGAGCGCGGAUAAAAUAGUGAGGGAGAACCGGUACUCUUCAAGAGUCGUCAUUCUAUUCGAAACACUUUCUCUGGAUCGUCGAUUGAUCCUGAGGACACGAUUCAAUCCAGUUCAAUGGUUGUGUUCACUGUUUCAUUAUUUUUCAUUUUCUCACCGUAUCAAUAAUAUAUAAUCAUAUAUUCGUUUCAAUUUACGUAUAUUCUUAACAUUGCGAUUUUGACUUUGGAUGAAACGGAAUUACAAAAUGUUUUUGAAAAUUAGAUAAUAUAUACGUGUAUAUAAUUCAAGUGAAAUGUUGAACAUAACCUCAACAGAAAAGGAUUAAUUAAAAUCGAAGACGAAGAAAAGUUCACCCGGUGCACAAGGCUACGAUAUUCCUGUUCCUUUUGUCCGCACGGAUCGCUGCUUCGAGCAGCCGAGCUGAAAGUGCCAACGAUUAAUAACAUGAUACGCACGCAGUGAGGAUCUCUCGUACUCGCCAUUAGUCGUAGCCGCGCUCUUAUCGCGGCACGGUCUCUCCACGGUUACGGUCACGAUUUCGGAGACACUGGUGCGCAACCGACCGUGUAAUUUACUGCGAAUCAGCGUCAAUUUAGCGAUACUCGACUAGAUCAUCGCCAACCUCUUUUAUCUAUUCUGUUCGAGUAGAUAGAGCUCAUUGGAAUUAUGAGAAAAGCGUAUUAUUGGAACGAGUUUUUAAGAGUAUCGGUAAUAUAAUUAGAAAAGAGAGGAAACAGAAAUAAUAUGAAGUCGUUAGUAGCAAGAUACCAAUGGUAGAAAGGAAAAUAUAAGAGACGAGCGUACAUAGGGAUUAAAUCGUGUACGAGGCUCCACCUGUGAACAGCAUUGCAAGUCCAAUCCUACGACUUUUCAUGCAACAUUGUGAAGAACAUACGUAGCGCUUCCGUAAUAUUACCUCAAAGAUUAUACGGAACAGGAUACUUUUAUUAAAAUCCGAGACAGAAAUCUCGUCAGCGGUCAUAAACUUCAAAGUACCGACGAUAAGAACUGUGGGGGACACGAAUCGAUAUCAAGGCGGUGUCCUAUAGGGAAAUUCUCUUUCAUGGAAUGCGGACUCAUUGCCCGGCGUUAUAAAAUUAAGCAUCGCGUUUCAACAUGCAAUCGCGCUGUAUGCUACCAGUUUCUCGUGAUGAUUCGUUCACAGGAGAAUGCAAGCUGAUUGCCUGGAACAUUAUGACUGUGGUAUACAGGAUGAAUAUUUGCUAAUUUUUAAUUUAAUGAUUUUUAUUUAACUUAUCUUUGUUGAUUGGGAAAGUCGAAUUAACUCGUUAUCUAUAUUGUUAAUAUUUUCAAUUUUAUAAUAAUUAUACAUGUAUACAUAUAUAUAUAUACAUAUAUUAUUAAAAUUGAGGUUAAUACAGGCACAACUAUAUUAAUUAUGAUUAUAAGUGAGAAUUAUAUUUUCGAUAUAGUAGAAUCACUGAAUAGAUCACUAUAUUGUGAAUUCAAUCGAAGAUCAGGUUUUAAUACCUCGAACGUGGGAUUAGGACAGUGAAAUGUUGCACGUUAUGGCACUGUCUGGGAAAGGAUCAUUUUCGUUACGUAAUCACAUUGAAUAGGCUAGCUUUUGCACUUCGUCUGCGUCACGGAUAUGUCGGUCCACUGUUGGAUUAUUAACGCCUGUUUUUCCUGACAGUUCUAUAGUAAUUUGUAUAGCCUGAUGUCAUAAUGUGAAACGUUUGGAAUGUUGACAAUGGAAAAUUGCCAACAAGAAUUAUUUUUAGAUGAUGCUUUUGAAUUACAAUUUGAUUUUAUGCUUCGAAACGAAAUAUUUUUUCU